ACGCUCGACACCUAGAGGCAGCAGUGAGGAAUAUUGGUCAAUGGACGCAAGUCUGAACCAGCCAUGCCGCGUGCAGGAUGACGGCUCUAUGAGUUGUAAACUGCUUUUGUACGAGGGUAAACGCAGAUACGUGUAUCUGUCUGAAAGUAUCGUACGAAUAAGGAUCGGCUAACUCCGUGUCAGCAGCCGCGGUAAUCUGAGCGGGCUGGCAAGGC
rnacentral:rRNA from 1 species